rnacentral:rRNA from 1 species
UAAACAGCGAAACUGCGGACGGCUCAUUAAAUCAGUUAUCGUUUAUUUGAUAGCACCUACUACAUGGAUAACUGUGGUAAUUCUAGAGCUAAUACAUGCUAAAAAUCCCGACUUCGGAAGGGAUGUAUUUAUUAGAUUAAAAACCAAUGCCCUUCGGGGCUCUCUGGUGAUUCAUAAUAACUGCUCGAAUCGCAUGGCCUUGCGCCGGCGAUGGCUCAUUCAAAUUUCUGCCCUAUCAACUUUCGACGGCUGGGUCUUGGCCAGCCAUGGUGACAACGGGUAACGGAGGGUUAGGGCUCGACCCCGGAGAAGGAGCCUGAGAGACGGCUACUACAUCCAAGGAAGGCAGCAGGCGCGCAAAUUACCCAAUCCCAAUUCGGGGAGGUAGUGACAAUAAAUACUGAUACAGGGCUCUUUUGGGUCUUGUAAUCGGAAUGAGAACAAUUUAAAUCCCUUAACGAGGAACAAUUGGAGGGCAAGUCUGGUGCCAGCAGCCGCGGUAAUUCCAGCUCCAAUAGCGUAUAUUAAAGUUGUUGCAGUUAAAAAGCUCGUAGUUGAACCUUGGGCCUGGCUGGCCGGUCCGCCUCACCGCGUGCACUGGUCCGGCCGGGCCUUUCCCUCUGGGGAGCCGCAUGCCCUUCACUGGGCGUGUCGGGGAACCAGGACUUUUACUGUGAAAAAAUUAGAGUGUUCAAAGCAGGCCUAUGCUCGAAUACAUUAGCAUGGAAUAAUAGAAUAGGACGUGUGGUUCUAUUUUGUUGGUUUCUAGGACCGCCGUAAUGAUUAAUAGGGACAGUCGGGGGCGUCAGUAUUCAAUUGUCAGAGGUGAAAUUCUUGGAUUUAUUGAAGACUAACUGCUGCGAAAGCGUUCGCCAAGGAUGUUUUCAUUAAUCAGGAACGAAAGUUAGGGGAUCGAAGACGAUCAGAUACCGUCGUAGUCUUAACCAUAAACUAUGCCGACUCGGGAUCGGACGAUGUUAUUUUUUGACUCGUUCGGCACCGUAUACGAAAGUAAAGUUUCUGGGU